UUGCGGCUAAAAAGCUCGUAGUUGGAUUUCUGUUGAGAAGGGCCGGUCCGCAUUUUGUGCGUGUAUCUGGUUCCGUCUUGGCAUCCUCUUGGGGAACGUUACUGCGCUUCACUGCGUGGUGCGGUAUUCAAGACUUUUACUUUGAGGAAAUUAGAGUGUUCACGGCAGGCAAUCGCCCUGAAUAUACUAGCAUGGAAUAAUAAUAUAGGACCUUGGUUCUAUCUUGUUGGUUCUGAGAGCUAAGGUAAUGAUUAAUAGGGAUAAUUGGGGGCAUUCGUAUUAACGUGUCAGAGGUGGAAUUCUUGGAUUACGUUACGACGAACUAAUGCGAAAGCAUUUGCCAAGGAUGUUUUCAUUGAUCAAGAACGAAUGUACGGGGAUCGAAGACGAUUAGAUACCGUCGUAGUCUGUACCAUAAACUAUGCCAACUAGAGAUUGGAGGUCGUUCUCUUUAUGACUCCUUCAGCAUCUUAUGAGAAGUCAAAGUUUUUGGGUUCCGGGGGGAGUAUGGUCGCAAGGCUGAAACUUAAAGGAAUUGACGGAAGGGCACCACCAGGAGUGGAGCCUGCGGCUUAAUUGACUCAACACGGGAAAACUACCAGGUCCAGACAUAGUGAGGAUUGACAGAUUGAGAGCUCUU
rnacentral:rRNA from 1 species